rnacentral:rRNA from 1 species
GACGAACGCUGGCGGCGUGCUUAACACAUGCAAGUCGAACGGAAAGGCCCUGCUUUUGUGGGGUGCUCGAGUGGCGAACGGGUGAGUAACACGUGAGUAACCUGCCCUUGACUUUGGGAUAACUUCAGGAAACUGGGGCUAAUACCGGAUAGGAGCUCCUGCUGCAUGGUGGGGGUUGGAAAGUUUCGUCGGUUGGGGAUGGACUCGCGGCUUAUCAGCUUGUUGGUGGGGUAGUGGCUUACCAAGGCUUUGACGGGUAGCCGGCCUGAGAGGGUGACCGGCCACAUUGGGACUGAGAUACGGCCCAGACUCCUACGGGAGGCAGCAGUGGGGAAUAUUGCACAAUGGGCGUAAGCCUGAUGCAGCAACGCCGCGUGCGGGAUGACGGCCUUCGGGUUGUAAACCGCUUUCGCCUGUGACGAAGCGUGAGUGACGGUAAUGGGUAAAGAAGCACCGGCUAACUACGUG